CGAGAGGACCGGAGUGAACGAACCUCUGGUGUUCGGGUUGUCACGCCAGUGGCACUGCCCGGUAGCUAAGUUCGGAAUCGAUAACCGCUGAAAGCAUCUAAGCGGGAAGCGAGCCCUGAGAUGAGUCAUCCCUGACCCCUUGAGGGUCCUAAAGGGCCGUUGGAGACCACAACGUUGAUAGGUGGGGUGUGUAAGCGCGGCGACGUGUUGAGCUAACCCAUACUAAUUACCCGUGAGGCUUAACCAU
rnacentral:rRNA from 1 species